rnacentral:rRNA from 1 species
GAGGAAUAUUGGUCAAUGGACGAGAGUCUGAACCAGCCAAGUAGCGUGAAGGAUGACUGCCCUAUGGGUUGUAAACUUCUUUUAUACGGGAAUAAAGUUAGCCACGUGUGGCUUUUUGUAUGUACCGUAUGAAUAAGGAUCGGCUAACUCCGUGCCAGCAGCCGCGGUAAUACGGAGGAUCCGAGCGUUAUCCGGAUUUAUUGGGUUUAAAGGGAGCGUAGGCGGGUUGUUAAGUCAGUUGUGAAAGUUUGCGGCUCAACCGUAAAAUUGCAGUUGAUACUGGCGACCUUGAGUGCAGCAGAGGUAGGCGGAAUUCGUGGUGUAGCGGUGAAAUGCUUAGAUAUCACGAAGAACUCCGAUUGCGAAGGCAGCUUACUGGAUUGUAACUGACGCUGAUGCUCGAAAGUGUGGGUAUCAAACAGGAUUAGAUACCCUGGUAGUCCACACAGUAAACGAUGAAUACUCGCUGUUGGCGAUAUACGGUCAGCGGCCAAGCGAAAGCAUUAAGUAUUCCACCUGGGGAGUACGCCGGCAACGGUGAAACUCAAAGGAAUUGACGGGGGCCCGCACAAGCGGAGGAACAUGUGGUUUAAUUCGAUGAUACGCGAGGAACCUUACCCGGGCUUAAAUUGCAACUGACUGAACCGGAAACGGUUCUUUCUUCGGACAGUUGUGAAGGUGCUGCAUGGUUGUCGUCAGCUCGUGCCGUGAGGUGUCGGCUUAAGUGCCAUAACGAGCGCAACCCUUAUCGAUAGUUACUAGCAGGUCAUGCUGAGGACUCUAUUGAGACUGCCGUCGUAAGAUGUGAGGAAGGUGGGGAUGACGUCAAAUCAGCACGGCCCUUACGUCCGGGGCUACACACGUGUUACAAUGGGGGGUACAGAAGGCAGCUACACGGCGACGUGGUGCUAAUCCCGAAAGCCUCUCUCAGUUCGGAUUGGAGUCUGCAACCCGACUCCAUGAAGCUGGAUUCGCUAGUAAUCGCGCAUCAGCCACGGCGCGGUGAAUACGUUCCCG